CUCUCCCCUUCCCUGUUCAACGCAUUGUAGGCUAUUUGGCAAGGGUGACCUGCAUCUCGGCCUGUGUCUUAUGUGUCUGCGGCAAUGACAACUGUCAGUUCUUCACUUACACUUUCAGUUAGGCUUUCCAACACAUCAGGGGCAGCAAGUCUUACAAAAGUGUCUUUGGUCUGCCCCUGCCAGACAGCAGAACUGAGAUACCUCUAGCAACACGUUAUGAAAUCUGAGAUCCCUUCAUGAAGAUGUAAAGGAAUGAGUCCACUAGGGGGCUCACUAAUACCGAAAACAAGGUUGUGUUGCAGCAGACCGAUAGAGCCCCACAGUGGACGAGUCAUAAUACCCAUAAAAUCUAACAUUUUUCCCAUAGGGGAUUUUAGAACCACUUCAAACAAGGUAUGUCUUUCAUGUAGGCUUUCCCUGGCAUGAUGUUUUGAUAACUGUGUAAAUCUCUCUCGGACAAGGUGACUUAAAGUACCAGUCAAACGUUUGGACACACCUACUCAUUCAAGGGCUUUUCUUUAUUUGCAUUAUUUUCUACAUGGUACAAUAGUAGUGAAGACUUCAACACUAUGCAAUAACACAUAUGGAAUCAUGUAGUAACCAAAAAAGUGUUAAACAAAUCAAAAUAUAUUUUAUAUUUGAGAUUCUUCAAAGUAGCCACCCUUUGCCUUAACAGCUUUGCACAGUCUUGGCAUUCUCUCAACCAGCUUCACCUGGAAUAUUUUUUCCAACAGUCAUAAAGGAGUUCCCACAUGCUGAGCACUUGUUGCUGCUUUUCCUUCACUCUGCGGUCCAACUCAUCUCAAUUGGGUUGAGGUCGGGUGACUGUGGAGACCAGGUCAUUUGAUGCAGCACUCCAUCACUCUCCUUCUUGGUCAAAUAGCCCUUACACAGCCUGGAGGUUUGUUGUGGUUCAUUGUCCUUUUUUUACCGUUAUUUAACCAGGUAAGUUGACUGAGAACACAUUCUCAUUUACAGCAAUGACCUGGGGAAUAGUUACAGGGGAGAGGAGGGGGAUGAAUGAGCCAAUUGUAAGCUUGGGAUGAUUAGGUAACCAUGAUGGUAUGCUGGACAGCUUGGGAAUUUUGCCAGGACACCGGGGUUAACACCCCUACUCUUAUGAUAAGUGCCAUGGGAUCUUUAAUGACCUCAGAGAGUCAGGACACCCGUUUAACGUCCCAUCCGAAAGACGGCACCCUACACAGGGCAGUGUCCCCAAUCACUGCCCAGGGGAAUUGGGAUAUUAUUUUUAGACCAGAGGAAAGAGUGCCUCCUACUGGGCCUCCAACACCACUUCCAGCAGCAUCUGGUCUCCCAUCUAGGGAGAAAAACAAAUGAUAGUCCCACUAAGCGCAAACCAGAUGGGAUGGCGUGUUGCUGCAGAAUGCUGUGGUAGCCAUGCUGGUUAAGUGUGCCUUGAAUUCUAAAUAAAUCACUGACAGUGUCACCAGCAAAGCACCCCCACACCAUCACACCUCCUCCUCCAUGCACGGUGGGAACCACACAUGCAGAGAUCAUCGAUUCACCUACACUGCGUCUCACAAAGACACGGCGGUUGGAACCAAAAAUCUCAAAUUUGGACUCAUCAGACCAAAGGACAGAUUUCCACUGGUCUAAUGUCCAUUGCUGGUGUUUCUUGGCCCAAGCAAGUCUCUUCUUCUUAUUGGUGUCCUUUAGUAGUGGUUUCUUUGCAGCAAUUUGACAAUGAAGGCCUAAUUCACUCAGGCUCAUCUAAACAGAUGAUGUUGAGAUGUGUCUGUUACUUGAACUCUGUGAAGCAUUUAUUUGGGCUGUAAUCUGAGGUGCAAUUAACUCUAAACUCCAAGUCAUGUGACUCGAGUCCACACCUCUGCUGACUACUAUCCUAACAGCGGUCAGAUAUUUACAAUGGUCUGUGCUAUCCGUGAUCCUUGGAACGUCCCAACCCUAAACCCUAACCUUAACCUUAACCCUUACCCUAACCAUAACCCUUACCUAACCCUAACCCUUAGCUUAACUAUUUUAAAUUCCAACUUCAAUGGUGUAAGGACGUCCCAAGGAUCCCAGAUAGCACAGAGAUAUUUACAACGUGCCAUGAAUACUAGGCUAGUUUUUUGUAAAGAAGCAAUCUAGCUAGCUCCCUACAUACUAUAGAAGAUAUUAGCAACAUAGCCUUAUUUUGCCAGGACUUCUUCUCCUUCACCCAUUGGAGGUCUAUAUUUAAUCCCUCAUCAUUUCUGCCAACUAUAUGAACGAGGUGAAAUCUAUUUCAGUUUGAGGUGUCAGAAUGCCCUGCUGUAUUAAAGAAAUUCUGUUCUGUUGCAGAUUCAAAGCAAGAUUAACUCAUUGCAGAAUGUAUCCAUAAUCAUUAACGAAUUAACAUAUACACUAAGUGUACAAAACAUUUCCAUGACAUAGACUGACCAGGUGAAUCCAGGUGAAAGCUAUCAAUCAAUCAAAUGUAAUUAUAAAGCCCUUUUUACAUCAGCCGAUGUCACAAAGUGCUAUACAGAAACCCAGCCUAAAACCCCAAACAGCAAGCAAUGCAGAUGUAGCACGGUGGCUAGGAAAAACUCCCUAGAAAAGGCAGGAACCUAGAUAGAAACCUAGAGAGGAACCAGGCUUUGAGGGGGAGGCAGUCCUCUUCUGGCUGGGGCGGAUGGAGAUUAUAACAGUACAUGGCAAAGAUGUUCAAACAUGACCAGCAGUGUCAAAUAAUAAUCAUCUCAGUGGUUGUAGAGGUUGCAUCAGGUCAGCACGUCAGGAGUAAAUGUCAGUUGGCUUUUCAUAGCCAAGCAUUCAAGAAUUGGUCCCGUGUGGCUCAGUUGGUAGAGCAUGGUGUUUGCAAUGCCAGGGUUAUGGGUUCGAUUCCCACGGGGGACCAGUAGGGAAAUAAAUGUAUGAAAUGUAUGCACUCACUACUGUAAGUUGCUCUGGAUAAGAGCGUCUGCUAAAUUACUAAAAUGUAAAUGUAAUUAGAGACAGCAGGUGUGAUAGAGAGAGAGUCGAAAACAGCAGGUCUGGAACAAGGUAGCACGCCCGGUGAACAGGUCAGGGUUCCAUAGACGCAGGCCGAACAGUUGAAACUGGAGCCGCAGCACGACCAGGUGGACUGGGGACAGCAAGGAGUCAGUCAUCAGGCCAGGUAGUCCUGAGGUAUGGUCCCAGGGCUCAGGUCCUCCAGUAGGAGAGGGAGAGAAUUAGAGGGAGCAUACUUAAAUUCACACAGGACACAGGAUAAGACAGGAGAAAUACUACAAAUAUAACAGACUGACCCUAGCCCUCUGACACAUAAACUAUUGCAGCAUAAAUACUGGAGGCUGAGACAGGAGGGGUCGGGCAACACCGUGACCGACGAUAACCCCGGACAGGGCCAACCAGGCAGGAUACUUUGCCAAAGCACAGCCCUCACACCACUAGAGGGAUAACGUCAAACCACCAACUUAGUACCCUGAGACAAGGCUGAGCAAAGCCCACGAAAAUCUCCCCCACGGCACGAACACAAGGGGGGCGCCAACUUGGACAGGAAGACCCUGUCAGUGACGCACCCCUCCAAGGGACGGCAUGGAAGAGCGCCAGUGACUCACCCCCGUAAUAGGGUUAGAGGCAGAUAAUCCCAUUGGAGAGAGGGGAACCGGCCAGGCAGAGACCGUAAGGGCGGUUCGUCGCUCCAGUGCCUUUCGUUCACCUUCACACCCCUGAUCACUUAUUGAUGUCACCACUUCAAUCAGUGUAGAUGAAGG
rnacentral:lncRNA from 1 species